ACCAGGACACUGGCUGCAUGACCAGCAGCAUAAUUUAUGUUAUCCGCCUCAUUGUUUACUCACUCAAUCACUUAAUAUAUAAUUUACCUGAUUUGCCUGACUGUCAAAUUGUUGUUUUGCACUCUAUACCACAUUCAGUGUUUAGCCUCUUUUGGCUCAUAAUUUUUGUUUUAUCACAAAUGUACUGUUUGUUUCAGUCUCAGUGACCUCACCAAUCUUGCUUUCAGCAUCAGAGACCUGAAGACAUCAGUGAAUGAAGCUUUAAGAAAGACACAGAUCUCGGAAUAACCUCCAUCAAGCAAACUGAAUCUGUUUAUUUUAAACUCAAAGACCUCUGAUCCCUCGGGAGUCCUCUGUCAGGACUUCUGUGCCAGGAGCGUGCUCAGUUUGAUCUUCCCAUCCAUGGAGGCGGUCA